GCGUUCCACACACAGGAAGAGAGUUUUUUUCUUUCGCGGCAACUUCCGGGUUUCCCUCGAGCGGGAGUCAGUCGUCCGCAAAAGCAGCUCUCUUCAUACGGUAUGUCCCCUACAGCUUUUCAGAGUAAAGCAAGCUGAGAACCGAACACAAAUAAAGCAUCCACUUCACAGGCUACACAGAUAAUUCAUCACACGGUGAAAGCUCUAUACUUCAGCAUACAAGGAGGGGGAGUAUAUAGAGGAACACAGGGGUCUGUACAAGGACGUGAUGAUGGAGAAUCACCGGCCCCUCACAUCACUGGGUAAGAGGAGACUGUCAUGUAUUGUA